GAUGGACGCUAGCGGCAGGCCUAACACAUGCAAGUCGAGGGAGAAGCCCUUUCGGGGGCAGAAACCGGCGCACGGGUGCGUAACGCGUAUGCAACCUACCUUUCACAGGGGGAUAGCCCGAAGAAAUUUGGAUUAAUACCCCAUAAUAUUGUUGGAUGGCAUCAUCUGGCAAUUAAAGCUACGACGGUGGAAGAUGGGCAUGCGUCCUAUUAGCUAGUUGGAGUGGUAACGGCACCCCAAGGCUACGAUAGGUAGGGGUCCUGAGAGGGAGAUCCCCCACACUGGUACUGAGACAGGUACCAGACUCCUACGGGAGGCAGCAGUGAGGAAUAUUGGUCAAUGGUCGGAAGACUGAACCAGCCAUGCCGCGUGCAGGAAGAAUGCCUUAUGGGUUGUAAACUGCUUUUAUAUGGGAAGAAUAAGGCGUAACGUGUACGUUGAUGACGGUACCAUAUGAAUAAGC
rnacentral:rRNA from 1 species